rnacentral:rRNA from 1 species
CCUACGGGUGGCAGCAGUGAGGAAUCUUGGUCAAUGGACGAGAGUCUGAACCAGCCAAGUAGCGUGAAGGAUGACUGCCCUAUGGGUUGUAAACCUCUUUUAUAUGGGAAUAAAAUGUUCCACGUGACGGAUUUUGUAUGUACCAUAUGAAUAAGGAACGGCAAACUCCGUGCCAGCAGCGGAGGUAAUACGGAGGAUCCGAGCGUUAUCCGGAUUUAUUGGGUUUAAAGGGAGCGUAGGUGGAUUGUUAAGUCAGUUGUGAAAGUUUGCGGCUCAACCGUAAAAUUGCAGUUGAAACUGGCAGUCUUGAGUACAGUAGAGGUGGGCGGAAUUCGUGGUGUAGCGGUGAAAUGCUUAGAUAUCACGAAGAACUCCGGUUGCGAAGGCAGUUCACUGGUCUGCAACUGACACUGAGGCUCGAAAGUGUGGGUAUCAAACAGGAUUAGAUACCCCAGUAGUC